CGUCGUGUGUGGACACAUCUUCCUGCUCCUUCCUCAAGCUCCGGACUAUUAGCGCCCUGUGUUUUGUUCCUGCUCUUUCGUAUCCGAAGGUUUAGCAGGGCAAUAUACCGUCCCAAAUCACUUGCUAGGUCUCCAGCUUCCGGGUCAUAAUUUGCAGCCAGUAAUUCUAAUCUUUUCUGCGGUUGCCAUUAAAAUCCGGCAGGAGAGGACUGAAUGAGAGCAAAGGACAGGUAUUGGCCAAGGUGUCUCCUGAGGAGAAUCAUGGACGGAACGCCCUCACUUCGCGGCAGAUCGGAGACGGCAGAGAUGGAAGGAUUUUGGAGCCUCUUUCAAAGCGGGCGGGGGAGAAGUCUGGCCCUGAUAAGGCCGUCGUCGUUGUCUCGGAAACAAAGCUCGGAGAGAACCUGUUAAGCCAGCGCUGGAGCUCAUAUUAGAAUGCAAAUGAGCAUCUACGAACAGGGCAUAGUAUAUUAACACAAUAAUAGGGUGCAGGGGGCUGCAGAGGAGAUUAAUAUUAUAGGAAGAGUUCGAUUGUUUUAAAGACAGCAACAGUUAGAGACAUUAGUGCUGCAUGCAUGCUGGGAAAAUAGGUUUUAACCUCUGACCCGGUCUGUCUUGAGAAAAAUGAGGUUCCAUAGGAAAAGGCUGAAUUAUGUUUCAUAAUGUGGAAAUAUGGCAUCAUCUAUAGGUUGUUUGGACAACAUUCACUGUUGCAUUGCCACUGAUGUAGGUGAUUCGGAUCUACAGGAACUAUAUGAACGAUGAACCACAAAGUGUUAAGUUGAUUCCAUGUUUGUGAUGAAUCUUAAGUGGUGUGUGAUUUGGAUCUAUUCAAAUCCACCAUAAUAAAAAAAGACCACUUAAAGGACAA
ensembl:lncRNA